GCCAGCGUGACAUAGUGGUUUGAGUGCUGGACUACAAUUCUAGUAGUCCAGGGUUCAAUUCCGAGCUUGUCC